UUUAUUUUUAGAUUUAGUAAAUUUAGUACUUCAGCGUUUUAUUUUUUAAAGUUUGUUUUUGAUCUAUUAUUUUAUUUCAGUUUUCUUUCAAUUAACAAAAACGUUAAGAGUUUUAGUUUUAGUUAAUGAUAACAACACUUAAUGGUACUAAAUGACCAGACCCAGCGAAAGGGGUCAAACGCUAGAAGUCCAUCUGUGAGGCCGCCAAGAUUCAUGGAUAAAAGUCUGAUCACAGAGGGGGAGAAACACACAGUAAGAGAGAAACCAGGAUCCUUCCAUCUCUGUCUGUAAAACAACACGAGCGCUCACACGUUCACACUUACGCUGAAGGAGUCGUGAAUGGACCAUCUGACCUCGGAUGACGCAAUGACUCACAGACGGCCCUCGUGGACUCCACCGCACGGCUAAAAACACUCAGCACCAUCUGUUAGCAGCUCGUGAGAUACAGCACAAAUGAUUCACUGCAGAGGAGUCUUAAUGGAAGGGUCUGUCACAACAACUUAUUUAUAAUAGGUAUAUUUCAUAUAUAUUUUAUUUUUCAUUUUGCGGUUUAAAUGUGUCUCAGAUUAUCCGUACCAUCUGCCUUUACAUAAACGCACUGGUGAUACCAUGAUUAAUGGUGAUGGUACACAUAUUAAUAUCAUAAUUACUUCAAAUAUCAAAGAUAAUUCAGUAAAUAGUUCAUGUUUAAAAAAAAAAACCAUAGUAUUUCCAUGAUACCCAUCCAAAAAAUACAUGGAAAUACCACGGUAAAUGUGUGCUAAAUGUGAAAAAAACAAAAAAAAACACUGUGGUAGCACCAUGAUACAUGUGCCAAAAAUAAAAUAAAAUAAAAUCUAAGGAGUACCAUGAAAGAGGCAACCUACAGAAAAAAAACAUGGUAGUUAAAUAGUAAAUGUGCA
rnacentral:lncRNA from 1 species